GAUUGAAGGAGCUUGCUCCUGAUUGAUAAACAUUUGAGUGAGUGGCGGACGGGUGAGUAACACGUGGGUAACCUGCCCUAAAGUGGGGGAUAACAUUUGGAAACAGAUGCUAAUACCGCAUAAAACCUAACACCGCAUGGUGUAGGGUUGAAAGAUGGUUUCGGCUAUCACUUUAGGAUGGACCCGCGGUGCAUUAGUUAGUUGGUGAGGUAAAGGCUCACCAAGACCGUGAUGCAUAGCCGACCUGAGAGGGUAAUCGGCCACACUGGGACUGAGACACGGCCCAGACUCCUACGGGAGGCAGCAGUAGGGAAUCUUCCACAAUGGACGAAAGUCUGAUGGAGCAACGCCGCGUGAGUGGAGAAGGUUUUCGGAUCGUAACACUCUGUUGUUGGAGAAGAAUGUAUCUGAUAGUAACUGAUCAGGUAGUGACGGUAUCCAACCAGAAAGCCACGGCUAACUACGUGCCAGCAGCCGCGGUAAUACGUAGGUGGCAAGCGUUGUCCGGAUUUAUUGGGCGUAAAGCGAGCGCAGGCGGUUUCUUAAGUCUGAUGUGAAAGCCUCGGCUCAACCGAAGAAGUGCAUCGGAAACUGGGAACUUGAGUGCAGAAGAGGACAGUGGACUCCAUGUGUAGCGGUGAAUGCGUAGAUAUAUGGAAGAACACCAGUGGCGAAGGCG
rnacentral:rRNA from 1 species